AGCUUUGCGCAGUGGCAGUAUCGUAGCCAAUGAGGUUUAUCCGAGGUGCGAUUAUGGCUAAUUCUACUCCCCCCCCCCUUUUAAUUGAAGGUGCAUGCAU
rnacentral:snRNA from 1 species